GGAUUGUAGCUUGGUGGCAGAGCAAUUGCCUCACAUGUAUGAGGCACUGGGUUCGAUCCUCAGCACCA
rnacentral:tRNA from 1 species